UACGUAGGGUGCAAGCGUUUAAUCGGAAUUACUGGGCGUAAAGCGUGCGCAGGCGGUUUUGUAAGUCUGUCGUGAAAUCCCCGGGCUCAACCUGGGAAUUGCGAUGGAGACUGCAAGGCUAGAAUCUGGCAGAGGGGGGUAGAAUUCCACGUGAUAGCAGUGAAAUGCGUAGAGAUGUGGAGGAACACCGAUGGCGAAGGCAGCCCCCUGGGUCAAGAUUGACGCUCAUGCGACGAAAGCGUGGGGAGCAAACGAGG
rnacentral:rRNA from 1 species